GACGAACGCUGGCGGUGUGCUUCACACAUGCAAGUCGAACGGAGUAGCAAUACUCAGUGGCGGACGGGUGAGUAACACGUGGGAAUCUACCAUUAGAUGGGGAAUAACAGGCCGAAAGGACUGCUAAUGCCGCAUAUGUAUGUACCUCGACAGGGGUGUAUAUGAAAGGAGUAAUCCGUCUGAUGAUGAGCCCGCGUCCGAUUAGCUAGUUGGAGGUAAAGCCUACCAAGCGACGAUCGGUAGGUGGUCUGAGAGGAUAGGAUACACCCACAAUGGGACUGAGACACGGCCCAUACUCCUACGGGAGGC
rnacentral:rRNA from 1 species